rnacentral:rRNA from 1 species
UACAGUGGGGGCAAGCGUUGUUCGGAAUUACUGGGCGUAAAGGGCUCGUAGGUGGCCAACUAAGUCGGACGUGAAAUCCCUCAGCUUAACUGGGGAACUGCAUCCGAUACUGGAUGGCUUGAGUUUGGGAGAGGGAUGCGGAAUUCCAGGUGUAGCGGUGAAAUGCGUAGAUAUCUGGAGGAACACCGGUGGCGAAGGCGGCAUCCUGGACCAACACUGACACUGAGGAGCGAAAGCCAGGGGAGCAAACGGG